ACUCCUACGGGAGGCAGCAGUGGGGAAUAUUGCACAAUGGGCGCAAGCCUGAUGCAGCAACGCCGCGUGAGGGACGACGGCCUUCGGGUUGUAAACCUCUUUUAGUAGGGAAGAAGCGAAAGUGACGGUACCUGCAGAAAAAGCACCGGCUAACUACGUGCCAGCAGCCGCGGUAAUACGUAGGGUGCAAGCGUUGUCCGGAAUUAUUGGGCGUAAAGAGCUCGUAGGCGGUUUGUCGCGUCUGCUGUGAAAACCCGAGGCUCAACCUCGGGCCUGCAGUGGGUACGGGCAGACUAGAGUGCGGUAGGGGAGAUUGGAAUUCCUGGUGUAGCGGUGGAAUGCGCAGAUAUCAGGAGGAACACCGAUGGCGAAGGCAGAUCUCUGGGCCGUAACUGACGCUGAGGAGCGAAAGCGUGGGGAGCGAACAGGAUUAGAUACCCUGGUAGUCCACGCCGUAAACGUUGGGAACUAGAUGUGGGGGCCAUUCCACGGCUUCCGUGUCGCAGCUAACGCAUUAAGUUCCCCGCCUGGGGAGUACGGCCGCAAGGCUAAAACUCAAAGGAAUUGACGGGGGCCCGCACAAGCGGCGGAGCAUGCGGAUUAAUUCGAUGCAACGCGAAGAACCUUACCAAGGCUUGACAUAUACCUGAAAAGGCUGGAAACAGUCUCCCCGCAGGCAGGUAUACAGGUGGUGCAUGGUUGUCGUCAGCUCGUGUCGUGAGAUGUUGGGUUAAGUCCCGCAACGAGCGCAACCCUCGUUCUAUGUUGCCAGCACGUAAUGGUGGGAACUCAUAGGAGACUGCCGGGGUCAACUCGGA
rnacentral:rRNA from 1 species